UACAAGCUCCGUCACGGAAUGAAUUAAACACUUCCCAAAGACACCGAAAGGUGGCAGAAUACGUUACCCCAAAAUAUGCCUCUUUGUCGUAAGGAUUACUUUGUGCUAAAGGCACUUGAAAAAAAAAAACACAAAAAACAGCAGAUGCACGAAAGGCAUUUGGAUUUCCCCUUUUCUUCCUGAAGACGAGAUAAAUACUCCCCCGGGAAAGCUGUCCUCCCUGGACCAGGAGAAAAGAAACGUUCUUCAACAGAGAAGCAAAGCCAAGAGAACUCUGCACAAACACAUUUUAUUAAAAAACGAAAUUCUUAUUUUC